AGAGUUUGAUCCUGGCUCAGAUUGAACGCUGGCGGCAGGCUUAACACAUGCAAGUCGAGCGGGGAAGGGUAGCUUGCUACCUGACCUAGCGGCGGACGGGUGAGUAAUGCUUAGGAAUCUGCCUAUUAGUGGGGGACAACAUUCCGAAAGGAAUGCUAAUACCGCAUACGUCCUACGGGGGAAAGCAGGGGAUCUUCGGACCUUGCGCUAAUAGAUGAGCCUAAGUCAGAUUAGCUAGUUGGUGGGGUAAAGGCCUACCAAGGCGACGAUCUGUAGCGGGUCUGAGAGGAUGAUCCGCCACACUGGGACUGAGACACGGCCCAGACUCCUACGGGAGGCAGCAGUGGGGAAUAUUGGACAAUGGGCGCAAGCCUGAUCCAGCCAUGCCGCGUGUGUGAAGAAGGCCUUUUGGUUGUAAAGCACUUUAAGCGAGGAGGAGGCUACUUGGAUUAAUACUCUAGGAUAGUGGACGUUACUCGCAGAAUAAGCACCGGCUAACUCUGUGCCAGCAGCCGCGGUAAUACAGAGGGUGCGAGCGUUAAUCGGAUUUACUGGGCGUAAAGCGUGCGUAGGCGGCUUUUUAAGUCGGAUGUGAAAUCCCUGAGCUUAACUUAGGAAUUGCAUUCGAUACUGGGAAGCUAGAGUAUGGGAGAGGAUGGUAGAAUUCCAGGUGUAGCGGUGAAAUGCGUAGA
rnacentral:rRNA from 1 species